UUUUUUUUUUUUAAGAUUUUAUUUAUUUAUUCAUGAGAGACAGAGAGAGAGAGAGAGAGAGAGAGAGAGAAAGGCAGAGACACAGGCAGAGGGAGAAGCAGACUCCAUGCAGGGAGCCUGAUGAAGCACUUGAUCCCAGGUCUCCAGGAUCAUGCCCUGGCCAAAGGCAGACACUAAACCUCUGAGCCACCCGGGCAUCCCUAUUACUAGUUUUUGAUUUGUGGUUACUAUUCUGCAUACAACAGUCUAUCUUAAGUUGAUGGCUGCUUAAGUUUGAACGCAUUCUUUAUGUCUCUCCUCCCCAUGUUUUAGGUAUAUGAUGUCAUACCUUACAUUCUUUUAUUUUGUGAGUCCCUUGACUGAUUUUCACAGGUAUACUAAUUUUUCCUGCUUUCAUGCUUCCUACUUUCCUUACUUCUGCUUAUGGCCUUUCCUUUCUGCUCAGAGCCCCUCUGCCCUUUCUUGUAGGGGGGGUUUAGAGGUCAUGAAUUCCUUUAACUUUUGUUUGUCCGGGAAACUGUUUACCUCUCCCUCUAUCCUGAAUGAAGCCUUAAUGUAUAGAUUAUUCUUCGCUACAGAUUUUUUCCUUUCAGCGCUUUGAAUAUUUCAUGCCACUUUCUUCUGGCCUGCAUCAUUUCUGCUGAAAAAUCGGCUGAUAGCCUUAUGGGGUUUUCCUUAUAGGUAACUGUUUUCUUUUCUCUUGCUGCUUCUAAAAUUCUCUAUCAUACUUUUUGCCAUUUUAAUUACUAUGUGUCUCAAUGUGGACCUCCUUGAGUUGAUUUUGUUGGGGGAUCUUUGUCCUCCUGGAUCUGGAUUUUCCUUCCCCAGAAUCAGGAACUUUUCAGCUAUUAUUUCUUCAAAUACAUUUUCUGCCACCUUUUCUCUCUCUUCUCCUGGGAUCCCUGUAAUGUGAAUAUUAUUACACUUGAUGGUAUUGCUAGGUAUUGCUAUAAGUCUAUUCUAAUUUUUUAUAAUUUUUUUCUCCUCUGCUCAGUUUGAUUACUUUCCAUUACUCUGACUCCAGGUCUCUGGUUUGUUCUUCUGCUUCCUCUAGUCUACUAUUUAUGCCAUUUAGUUAUUUUUUUCUUUUUUAAAAGAUUUUAUUUAUUUAUUCAUGAGAGACAGAGAGAAGGAAGAGACAUAGGCAGAAGGAGAAGCAGGCUCCAUGCAGGGAGCCUAAUGAGACUCGAUCCUGGAACCCUGGGAUCAUGCCCUGAGCUGAAGGCAGACGCUAAGCCGCUGAGCCACCCAGGUGUCCCGUAGUGUAUUUUCAAUUUCACUUAAUGUGUUUUUCAUCUCUGAUUGGUUCUUUUUUUAUCUCUUUGUUAAGGGUCUCACUAAUGUUCUCCACUGUUUUCUCGAGUCCAGUGAGUAUUUUAUGAUCAUAAUUUUAAAUUCUGUAUCAGGCAUAUUACUUAACUCUAUUUUGCUUUAGUCUCUUGCUGUGAUUUUUGUCCUAUUCUUUCAUUUGGGACAUAUUCCGUGUCUCCUCCUUUUGUCUUACUCUCUGUUUCUCUGUGUAAGGAAAGUCAGUAUGUCUUCUGCUCUUGAAAAUAAUGGCCUUAUUAAGAAGAUGCCCUGUGAUGGCCUGCAGUGUAAGAUCCCCUGUUCACUGGAAUCUAGUGCUUCAGGAGUAUUUCCUAUGUGUGUUGCCUGUGCCCUGCUAUUGUGGCUGAGCCACUUUUUCCUUCAGUCAAGUUGUCUGCAGUGACUCUCUGCCUGUUGUGGGCAGGAUUUGGUCCCUGUGGUGUUAAUGGGUCAGUCCAGGGCUGUCUUAGGUAU
rnacentral:lncRNA from 1 species